UUAUGUACAGGUUAUCCGACUUCGUCAGUAGAUGGGAAUUAGGGUAUCCAUGAAGACAUUCAGCGAUGGGACUGACAAUCGAAAUCAAAACAAAGUGUGUAUGCGGUUGAACGGAACUCACUUCUGGUGUAAACCGCGCUUAACAAUUUCCUUUGAAUUGUUCUGUCAGUCCGGUCAGAAUCUGUCAAAAAAUCAAGGUUAACAAAAAUAGUCAGCUGUUCGCAGCUGUCUUAUGCCUUGUUCAGAUUACAGCUGAAUAACAUGUUAUUCGAAGGUGUUACUUCUGAAUAACAAAACCGUUCGCACUAGCAUUUUAGGUAAUACUAUUUGACAGCUGACAGCAUGUGUCAAGCGCCAAAUUUUUUCGAGCAGUUUGUUGUUUGUUUACAAAUAUGCAGCGAGAUUCUUCAAAUUAGAAUUCAAUUAUUAUUAAACAAUUAUUCGGUUUGCAAUAAAAUAACCGUGAUGAGAUUUAUUAUUGAUUUGCUUUUUUUCGUAAUUGCAAGAAGGGGACCAAACAUAGAAGGCUUGAGUUCAGUAUGGGAUGAAACUGAUAAUGAUUAGUGUGCGAUAAAAAGCCAGAAGUAUUUGUGUGCUUCGUUUAAAUUUUAUUUUGCUCAUUUUUCCAUCGGAAAUUGGCUAGGAACUGUGGUUACAAUCUUAGGUUUCGUCAUCGGUGAACGGGAUGUGAAGUCGAGGAUUCCAUAAAUAUUACACAGGCAGAAAGCAUCAAUGGAGCCUGGGAGGUCAAGAUUGUUCAGAAAUAAUGUUUAGCAGCUGCAAGACGAGCCAACGUGAAUUCAAGUUAAACAAAAUUGUAUUACCAAAACAGUGUGACAAUGGAAUUCACGGAGCAACCGCAGCGCGAGAAAACAGGAUUCUUGGAACCCGAGCUAACUCGCGAACAACGGUGAAAAUUCCAAAAAUAUUCAGUACUAUCGUUUGGAGCGACCGACGGCUUUUUAUUGCGAUGCGUCUAGUCCUUGGACCCAAUGGGAAGUGUCGUCAGUGUUGGUUGAUUAUUCUGCACCUAUUUUGUAGAUCCAGUUUUGCUCAAAAGGUCAUCGGAAGACCACAAGUUGCCGGUAGUGAUAGUAUUAUAAUUGGUUUUAAGAGUAAGAAACCCACCGUCGUUUCACCCACAAGAGGAUGUACGAAGUAACUUCCAAUUUUUAUAAUAAAAUAACAAUUGAACAACGCAGGAUGAUAUCGCACGUAAUCAUCAUCAGAGGAGAUGGUGAACGAGGCCAGGGACGGAACUACGUUUCGCUAGGAAGGGAUCGUGGAGUACUACUAACUAUAAUAGAUACUAGAGUAGAAUGAUUCGAC